UCGAGCGAACAGACGAGGAGCUUGCUCCUCUGACGUUAGCGGCGGACGGGUGAGUAACACGUGGAUAACCUACCUAUAAGACUGGGAUAACUUCGGGAAACCGGAGCUAAUACCGGAUAAUAUAUUGAACCGCAUGGUUCAAUAGUGAAAGACGGUUUUGCUGUCACUUAUAGAUGGAUCCGCGCCGCAUUAGCUAGUUGGUAAGGUAACGGCUUACCAAGGCAACGAUGCGUAGCCGACCUGAGAGGGUGAUCGGCCACACUGGAACUGAGACACGGUCCAGACUCCUACGGGAGGCAGCAGUAGGGAAUCUUCCGCAAUGGGCGAAAGCCUGACGGAGCAACGCCGCGUGAGUGAUGAAGGUCUUCGGAUCGUAAAACUCUGUUAUUAGGGAAGAACAAAUGUGUAAGUAACUAUGCACGUCUUGACGGUACCUAAUCAGAAAGCCACGGCUAACUACGUGCCAGCAGCCGCGGUAAUACGUAGGUGGCAAGCGUUAUCCGGAAUUAUUGGGCGUAAAGCGCGCGUAGGCGGUUUUUUAAGUCUGAUGUGAAAGCCCACGGCUCAACCGUGGAGGGUCAUUGGAAACUGGAAAACUUGAGUGCAGAAGAGGAAAGUGGAAUUCCAUGUGUAGCGGUGAAAUGCGCAGAGAUAUGGAGGAACACCAGUGGCGAAGGCGACUUUCUGGUCUGUAACUGACGCUGAUGUGCGAAAGCGUGGGGAUCAAACAGGAUUAGAUACCCUGGUAGUCCACGCCGUAAACGAUGAGUGCUAAGUGUUAGGGGGUUUCCGCCCCUUAGUGCUGCAGCUAACGCAUUAAGCACUCCGCCUGGGGAGUACGACCGCAAGGUUGAAACUCAAAGGAAUUGACGGGGACCCGCACAAGCGGUGGGAGCAUGUGGUUUAAUUCGAAGCAACGCGAAGAACCUUACCAAAUCUUGACAUCCUCUGACCCUCUAGAGAUAGAGUUUUCCCCUUUCGGGGGACAGAGUGACAGGUGGUGCAUGGGUUGUCGUCAGCUCGUGUCGUGAGAUGUGGGGUAAGUCCCGCACGGAGC
rnacentral:rRNA from 1 species